AAUAAGUUCAUUUUUUAGUUUUUAGAUACAAUGUUUGACUCUUCGUCUUAUUUAAAAAAAAUUUUAUGAUUAAUAUUUUUAUUAUUACUAAAUGAUAAAACAUGAAUAGUCUUUACACGGGACUAACUAUUUUUAAGUUUUUCUACAAAUUUUUCAAAUAAGACGGAUGAUCAAACGUUAGACACAAAAAUUGAAAAAUGAAGUUUUU
rnacentral:pre_miRNA from 1 species